CAGCCGCCACGGUAAAACGAAGGGUGCAAGCGUUACUCGGAAUUACUGGGCGUAAAGCGUGCGUAGGUGGUGGUUUAAGUCCGUUGUGAAAGCCCUGGGCUCAACCUGGGAAUUGCAGUGGAUACUGGGUCACUAGAGUGUGGUAGAGGAUAGUGGAAUUUCCGGUGUAGCAGUGAAAUGCGUAGAGAUCGGAAGGAACAUCUGUGGCGAAGGCGACUAUCUGGGCCAACACUGACACUAAGGCACGAAAGCGUGGGGAGCAAACAGGAUUAGAUACCCCUGUAGUCCCUGUCUCUUAUAC
rnacentral:rRNA from 1 species